rnacentral:miRNA from 1 species
AGAUGAUGAGAAAGGAAAGUCAAG